rnacentral:rRNA from 1 species
GCAGUGCGGCUGCUAUACAUGCAGUCGAACGCUUCUUUUUCCACCGGAGCUUGCUCCACCGGAAAAAGAGGAGUGGCGAACGGGUGAGUAACACGUGGGUAACCUGCCCAUCAGAAGGGGAUAACACUUGGAAACAGGUGCUAAUACCGUAUAACAAUCAAAACCGCAGGGUUUUGAUUUGAAAGGCGCUUUCGGGUGUCGCUGAUGGAUGGACCCGCGGUGCAUUAGCUAGUUGGUGAGGUAACGGCUCACCAAGGCCACGAUGCAUAGCCGACCUGAGAGGGUGAUCGGCCACAUUGGGACUGAGACACGGCCCAAACUCCUACGGGAGGCAGCAGUAGGGAAUCUUCGGCAAUGGACGAAAGUCUGACCGAGCAACGCCGCGUGAGUGAAGAAGGUUUUCGGAUCGUAAAACUCUGUUGUUAGAGAAGAACAAGGAUGAGAGUAACUGUUCAUCCCUUGACGGUAUCUAACCAGAAAGCCACGGCUAACUACGUGCCAGCAGCCGCGGUAAUACGUAGGUGGCAAGCGUUGUCCGGAUUUAUUGGGCGUAAAGCGAGCGCAGGCGGUUUCUUAAGUCUGAUGUGAAAGCCCCCGGCUCAACCGGGGAGGGUCAUUGGAAACUGGGAGACUUGAGUGCAGAAGAGGAGAGUGGAAUUCCAUGUGUAGCGGUGAAAUGCGUAGAUAUAUGGAGGAACACCAGUGGCGAAGGCGGCUCUCUGGUCUGUAACUGACGCUGAGGCUCGAAAGCGUGGGGAGCAAACAGGAUUAGAUACCCUGGUAGUCCACGCCGUAAACGAUGAGUGCUAAGUGUUGGAAGGGUUUCCGCCCUUCAGUGCUGCAGCUAACGCAUUAAGCACUCCGCCUGGGGGAGUACGACCGCAAGGUUGAAACUCAAAGGAAUUGACGGGGGCCCGCACAAGCGGUGGAGCAUGUGGUUUAAUUCGAAGCAACGCGAAGAACCUUACCAGGUCUUGACAUCCUUUGACCACUCUAGAGAUAGAGCUUCCCCUUCGGGGGCAA